UUUCGACGACAGCUGAGAAGUGAUGCGAUACCAUAUUAUUUUUUUCUUUCACAACAAAACUUAAGAUUCUCAAUUAGAGCUCUGCACAAGGUGAAGGUUAUCUGGAGUCAUUCCACAGUGCCCUGCUGAAAAAUACCCCAAAGUGGAGGCAUUUUGGGUACACAAGCUUGAGGGAGCGGACACGCCUUGCGGUUUUGGAGCGCAACAAGAUUGUGGGAUAGAAACCAGGGGGCACCAAGGGACACUGAAACAUAAAAUCAAUCAAGACUACAACAGAGACGUGCAGUACCAACAGUUGGUGGUUAAGGAGCUUGUCACACCAGUCUUCGCUUUGGCUCCCCCUCCUGUCCAACUCAGGCAUUCGGCGUCUCCGGCCUUCUAGCUGCUGCCGAACCUACUGCUGGGAAACGCCCUUCACUCAUCAACCCCAGACUUGUCUCGUCAUCAUUACACACACCUGGUUCCAAUCCCCACACCAUCACUGUAUAUAGUCCCUCUGCCAUUUGUCUUUGUCGGUCAUUGUAAAUGUGACUUGUUUUCCUGAGAGGAAUCUCUCCUACUAUUUCCUGAGUACUUUAUAUUUUGCACUUUGGGUUUGCCCUGUGUCUUUUUGUUUAUGAAGAUAUAUUUUGAGCACAACAGUGUUUGGGUUUUGUCCUGCUUUGUUG
rnacentral:lncRNA from 1 species